GCUUAACUGCACUUCCUGCCGCGAGUGUCUUGGGUAAUUGUGGCUCAGCGAAUCUUGGAAAAGCUCAAGGCCCCAGAACAAACCAUUCCAAUUCAGGAGUGAGGGGAAUGUUGGAGCGAAAUGGGUUUGAAGAGUGCGUGGUGGAUGGGAGAUUGAGCAGCCGUCUUGUGAAGAACACAGGUGACAGAAGGGACUGCUGCCAUUGGCAGAUGAGGACACUGAUGCUCCGGGAGGUCUCCUGGCGGAGAACUGGAGACACUGGCUGAUAAUAUUGCACUAUCAUGUGGAAAUCCUCUGCCAGCCGGUGAAGAUGGACAUGCGAUGGAGGAGACCAAGCACAACCCGGAAUGGGGUGUCUCCCGUCAGAGCCUGUGUCGGUCUCACCACCUCCAACCCUUGAACUUUGAAGAUUCCUGGGGAGGAAAGAGCAGAGCGGUGGAUGCCACUGGGCUAUGCUAGGCGGCCGGCAAGGAUCCGUCCAGGAAGGUGUGGGCAGGUGGGAGUGGGUCACUGGCCUUGCACAGGCAGCUCGUUCUGCAGUGGCAGCUGAAGAAAGAGCCCCGGCCACACCCUCGCUCCAGGCUCUGGGCUCCAUUCUGAAGAAUUCCUGUGGCUCUGGCCUUGCAAGAAUUUUCAGAGUCAGACCCUACAUUCCCACCCACCCUUCAGCCGAGAGAAGUCUCACCGCUGCCUCGGCACCUGCGGAAGACAGUGGUUCUGUCUGUUCUUGUGAAGCUCUCAUCACUGAUCAUGUCCAGGUACCCAGAUUUACUGCACUUUCCUCAAGUCUCAAUUCGAGUUCGCUCAGUAGCCUGUCAGAACGCUCCCCUUGGUACUCGGCACAUGCAGUUCCACUAACACAGCUCCUACAGUGACCCUAUUCGCUGAAUUGCUUUGAGAAAUGUACUAAACUAAAACUGGCACAUAAAUUCGAGAGGAGGUAUUGCUGCCGUUCUCUCCUGGGUGGCCUUGAUCUGUGACCUUCCCUUUCUCAUCUCUGCCUCAGGCAGAUCGCCCCCUGCACCUCUCAGAAAGUGUUUGCAUUUUAAGCCAACCUCCCUUAAAAUCUUAAACAUAUCUUUUCUUUAUUUUAAGAACAAAAUAAUACAUUUGGGAACAUGCCAAUUUAACUUGGAGUCUUAAAAUAAGUGCAAAAUUGUGAGGUUGUCACGGUCAUGUUUAUUAAGUAGAAUUUGGCGUUCUUGUUCCAUGGUAUUAAUAAAGGAUGA